rnacentral:snRNA from 1 species
AUUACAGCGUGCACUUCAUAGCGCACCAAUCUGUCGCCUUUUACUAAAGGUUGCCGUGAAUGGGACGCAUCAAUGUGACUCACACAAUUUUUGGGCGGUCCACUGCUUCCAAAUCC